rnacentral:lncRNA from 1 species
GAAGGUGCAGGGUAUGGAGGGGGUGGUGGAAAUGGCGGUGGAGGAGGAUACGGUCAUGAAAGUGGAGGAUAUGGAGGUAAUGGAGGAAAUGGCGGUGGUCAUGAAAGUGGAGGAUAUGGAGGCAGUGGUCAUGAAAGUGGAGGAUAUGGAGGUAGUGGAGGAAAUAACGGCGGUCAUGAAAGUGGAGGAUACGGAGGCAGUGGAGGAAAUGGAGGAAAUGGCGGCAGUCAUGAAAGUGGAGGAUAUGGAGGCAGUGGAGGAAAUGGAGGUGGUCAUGAAAGUGGAGGAUACGGAGGCAGCGGAGGAAAUGGUGGCGGUCAUGAAAGUGGAGGAUAUGGAGGCAGUGGAGGAAAUAGUGGUGGUCAUGAAAGUGGAGGAUAUGGAGGAAGUGAAGGACAUGGCGGUGGUCAUGAAAGUGGAGGAUACGGAGGCAGUGGAGGAAAUGGUGGCGGUCAUGAAAGUGGAGGAUAUGGAGGUAGUGGAGGAAAUGGCGGUGGUCAUGAAAGUGGAGGAUAUGGAGGCGGCAGUCAUGAAAGUGGAGGAUACGGAGGCAAUGGAGGAAAUGGCGGCGGUCAUGAAAGUGGAGGAUAUGGAAACAGUGGAGGAAAUAGCGGUGGUCAUGAAAGUGGAGGAUAUGGAGGCAGUGGUGGAAAUAGCGGUGGGGCAGGAUAUGGUGGAGAACAUGGAGCAGGGUAUGGUGGUGGUGGUGGAAAUGGUGGGGGUGGAGGUGGAGGAGCAGGAAGUGG